GGGCCCGCACAAGCGGUGGAGUAUGUGGUUUAAUUCGAUGCAACGCGAAGAACCUUACCAGGGUUUGACAUCCUGCGAAUCUCUUGGAAACGAGAGAGUGCCUUCGGGAGCGCAGUGACAGGUGGUGCAUGGCUGUCGUCAGCUCGUGUCGUGAGAUGUUGGGUUAAGUCCCUUAACGAGCGCAACCCCUAUCUCUAGUUGCCAGCGGAUAAUGCCGGGGACUCUAGAGAAACUGCCCGUGCAAACGGUGAGGAAGGUGGGGAUGACGUCAAAUCAUCACGGCCCUUACGUCCUGGGCUACACACGUGCUACAAUGCUACGGACAAAGGGCUGCAAGUUCGCGAGGACAAGCAAAUCCCAUAAACCGUGGCUCAGUUCAGAUCGUAGGCUGCAACUCGCCUACGUGAAAGGCGGAAUC
rnacentral:rRNA from 1 species